CCUACGGGUGGCAGCAGUGGGGAAUAUUGCACAAUGGGGGAAACCCUGAUGCAGCGAAGCCGCGUGAGCGAAGAAGUCUUUCGGGAUGUAAAGCUCUAUUAGCAGGGAAGAAAAUUACGGCACUUGAGUAAUUUGCUUCGGCUAAAUACGUGCCAGCCGCCGCGGUCCUACGUAGGGAGCCAGCGUUAUCCGGAUUUACUGGGCGUAACGGGAGCGUAGGUGGCUUGCCAAGUCGGUUGUGAAAGUUCGGGGCUCAACCGCAAGAUUGCAGUUGAAACUGGCAGGCUGGAGUGCAGUAGAGGCAGGCGGAAUUCGUAGUGUAGCGGUGAAAUGCGUAGAUAUUACGAAGAACUCCGAUGGCGAAGGCAGCCUACUGGACGGUGACUGACACUGAGGCUCGAAAGCGUGGGUAGCAAACAGGAUUAGAUACCCGUGUAGUC
rnacentral:rRNA from 1 species